GCUUUAUCCGCUGCGCCGCCGGGCGCGGGAGGCGGAAGUGUUAAUUGCUCGCCGGCUUCGUCGACCGGAGCUCCUGCCGGUUACAUAACUGCGACCGCACUGGCUGUGGCUGCUUUCUCUGCGACGCUACGUCGCCCCCAGGAUGCUCUAGAAGCUCCCCCUUCCCGGCCGCCGGCUCCCCAACAAGGUGUGAAUGACAGAGGAAGUGCCCUCCAGUGCACUUAGUGAGGUCAACCUACGUCUUCUUUGCCACGAUGACAUAGACACAGUGAAGCAGCUCUGUGGUGACUGGUUCCCAAUCGAGUACCCUGACUCAUGGUAUCGUGACAUCACUUCAAAUAAGAAAUUUUUUUCCCUUGCUGCAACUUACAGAGGAGCCAUUGUGGGUAUGAUAGUUGCUGAAAUAAAAAGUAGGACAAAGGUGCAUAAAGAGGACGGAGAUAUUCUAGCCUCAAACUUCUCUGUUGAUACACAGGUCGCAUACAUCUUAAGUCUAGGAGUAGUAAAAGAAUUCAGAAAACAUGGAAUAGGUUCCCUUUUACUUGAAAGCCUAAAGGAUCACAUAUCUACCACGGCUCAAGACCACUGCAAAGCCAUCUACCUGCACGUCCUCACCACUAACAAUACAGCAAUAAACUUCUAUGAAAAUAGAGACUUUAAGCAACACCACUAUCUACCCUAUUAUUACUCCAUAAGAGGAGUCCUCAAAGAUGGCUUCACCUAUGUACUCUACAUCAAUGGGGGGCAUCCUCCUUGGACAAUUUUUGACUACAUUCAGCACAUCGGGUCUGCAUUAGCCAACCUGAGCCCGUGUUCAAUUCCACAGCGGAUUUAUCGCCAGGCCCAGAGUCUUCUUUGCAGUCUUUUGCCGUGGUCAAGCAUUUCUGCCAAGAGUGGCAUUGAGUACAGCAGAGCCAUGUGAUUUGGGUAGAAGGCCCUUCCCAGAAGCUACCAAGAGGUGCCUGAGUAUCCAGUUACUUUCACCUGAGAGCCUCGCCUCUGCACCAUAGUCAGCCAGCCCUGGGGAUGGGCUCAAAAGGUGGAGGUGCCACCUGCUGGGCUGCCAACCCAGGCUGCUGUUCAGUGAGCCUUGGGGAGCCUAGGAUCAGCAGACCAGGGAUGAUGGUGAAGAGACACACGGAGAGCACCCUGUAUGUACCCUUCUGCUCCUGAAGCUAUUUACUUCUCCACGGAUGCUGCUAACCCUGGCUUCCACGAAGGCUCCAGAUCUCCUCUGGCGAGUCUGCUCUCUGUGGACUAGAUGGGGAUUUGGCCUGAUUUACUGUAGUGUCCCUUUUUCCCCUCGCCUGGGAAUGGGAGGGAUGUGAGUGGACUUUCUCCUUUCCUACCCACUGUCUUUGCUGGGAGCCACAGGACCUCACAGCAGAAGAGAGGAGCACCUUUCCCGCCUGCUGAACCCCUCCACCCAGCCCUCACUCCACCCCCACUCCCCUGCUGGCUGGCAUGACCUAAACCCCUUUGUUCUGAGUAAACUAGCUUGGCCUUGAGGAGAAUAUGGCUUCAGAACAAUAUAGUGAGGGAUUAAAGGAAGGCCAAAGGCCCUCCCAGAACAUGAAAUAACCAAGGCCAGCUGGUAGCUCAGGCUUAGCCCAGGAGGCUAGGUCAGAAGCUACUCUUGCCUCAUCCUUUCAGGACUGUCAAGAUAUCCAGGCACAGAACCUUCGGCAUUGUUCCGCAGGCCAAACCGUCAGGUCAGAUGGCCCAACUUCUCCAGCAAAGUGGACUCCUGAUGACCUUGGUGUAGGGUGGCUUGGUAGCAAGGGCUUAUUCCCUGGUUCCCACCUUGAAGACAUACUCUCUGAUUCCCUUCUGCCUUGGACUUUGCUCAGCACUGAAGAGAGGGAUCACAAUUCCUAUUUCAUAAUGAAAUACAUUGUCCGUCUCAGUUGAACUGGACCUAAGGGUGGGAAGGUUGAGAGCUCUGCAGUACUCCUGAGAUCAGGCCCAGGAUUUCCCCCGUCUAGAUUAUCCCCAUACCUGAGCUUCCUUAGCCAUCACUGCAGCCAGAGCCACCAUGAAUUCCCUUUGUACAGGAAGUUAGGAACAUGGGUCCCAACUUCUGGCUCCUCCAGCGUGGUCCCUGUAAGUGGCCCUGGUCCUAUGGGGACAGAGCCAUGUGCCUUGUAGCUUUCAGCCCCAAUGGAGAAGGUUUUUUCUUCCUCUGGAUUCACUGAGGGGAGGAGACCAUGGCAGUAGCUCAGCUGUUUCAGUUCUGUGAAAUGUGCUUGCAGCAUGAGAUCUGUCCUUACCAUCACAUUCAGUUAUCUCCUGCCCCACAAUCGCCCCUGUCUUUUCUGAGGUACAAUGUAAUUCCAACCACCAAGAGUACCCAGUUCCCAGUGUUAGAAGCAGCCAUUCUUCCAAACCUCUCCACCUGAGUUGGGGGAGGGGGAGAAAAACCUUUUUCCCAGCCCCACACAAAUCAAAUCCUUCCUAAAUCCCUUUUAGACUUUUUUAACCUGUAGGACCUUUCCAGGACACUAAGGCAAGCAGCCACCAUCUCCUUCUAGUCCUAGGAGUGGACCUGCCCAUCCUGGUGGUGGCCUUCUGGUGAGGCACAAUAAGAAACCUCAAAAUUAAGGGGGAGCCCCUUGGGCUGAAUGAGCAUUUACUGUUUUGUGCGUCCUUCAUCAGUUGAUGGGAAGUUUGUCAGUUUGUAUUUCCCCCACCCUCUUGUCCCCCUGGGGGUGGGCAGACAUCUUACAGUACUUGAUUUUAAAAGAAAUUAAGGGCAAUGGUGACACCAUUGGUACAAGUGAGAUUAGUUUCCUACUAAGUAAGUUUUGAUAGCUUGGAUGCUGGCCAGUGCUGAGACCCCCAUGUGGUCUUAUAUUUAAUGAUAAAAUAAAGAUGUUCAUCUGAUUUUGUUUUCUGUGCUGAGGGGUGGGGAGAAGUUUUCCACCUCUGAUGGAUUUGGACAUCCAGUGUUCAAACUAAGGAUACCUUUUCAUGGCCCUUCAGCACUCCCUUUAUCCCAUAAUCACUGUAGUGUCCAACUUGGUGUUGAAUGGAUUGUAGUGUUUUGUCUUAUUAGAAAAAAAAAAGCAGAAUAAAACCUUAAUCAAAUCCAGUCUA